CAAGUACUCCCUCCGUUCGGAAUUACUUGUCGCAGAAAUGGAUGUAUCUAGAUGUAUUUUAGUUCUAGAUACAUCCAUAUCCAAGACAAGUAAUUCCGAACGGAGGGAGUAAUUU
rnacentral:pre_miRNA from 1 species